rnacentral:rRNA from 1 species
GAUGAACGCUGGCGGCGUGCCUAAUACAUGCAAGUCGAGCGAACAGACGAGGAGCUUGCUCCUCUGACGUUAGCGGCGGACGGGUGAGUAACACGUGGAUAACCUACCUAUAAGACUGGGAUAACUUCGGGAAACCGGAGCUAAUACCGGAUAAUAUAUUGAACCGCAUGGUUCAAUAGUGAAAGACGGUUUUGCUGUCACUUAUAGAUGGAUCCGCGCCGCAUUAGCUAGUUGGUAAGGUAACGGCUUACCAAGGCAACGAUGCGUAGCCGACCUGAGAGGGUGAUCGGCCACACUGGAACUGAGACACGGUCCAGACUCCUACGGGAGGCAGCAGUAGGGAAUCUUCUGCAAUGGGCGAAAGCCUGACGGAGCAACGCCGCGUGAGUGAUGAAGGUCUUCGGAUCGUAAAACGCUGUUAUUAGGGAAGAACAAAUGUGUAAGUAACUAUGCACGUCUUGACGGUACCUAAUCAGAAAGCCACGGCUAACUACGUG